rnacentral:rRNA from 1 species
UACGGGGGGGGGCAAGCGUUGUUCGGAAUUACUGGGCGUAAAGGGCUCGUAGGCGGCCAACUAAGUCGGACGUGAAAUCCCUCGGCUUAACCGGGGGAACUGCAUCCGAUACUGGAAGGCUUGAGUUUGGGAGAGGGAUGCGGAAUUCCAGGUGUAGCGGUGAAAUGCGUAGAUAUCUGGAGGAACACCGGUGGCGAAGGCGGCAUCCUGGACCAACACUGACGCUGAGGAGCGAAAGCCAGGGGAGCAAAGCGGG